UCUGGUGACCAUAGGUGCAGGGCAACACACGUUCCCAUCCCGAACACGCUCGUUAAGCCUGCAAUCGCCGAUGGUAGUGCCCCCACGCUGGGGUGCGAGAGUAGGUUAUCGCCAGUA
rnacentral:rRNA from 1 species